UGGGGAAUAUUGGACAAUGGGCGAAAGCCUGAUCCAGCCAUGCCGCAUGAGUGAAGAAGGCCUUUGGGUUGUAAAGCUCUUUUAGUGAGGAAGAUAAUGACGGUACUCACAGAAGAAGUCCUGGCUAACUCCGUGCCAGCAGCCGCGGUAAUACGGAGAGGGCUAGCGUUAUUCGGAAUUAUUGGGCGUAAAGGGCGCGUAGGCUGGUUAAUAAGUUUAAAGUGAAAUCCCGAGGCUUAACCUUGGAAUUGCUUUUAAAACUAUUAAUCUAGAGAUUGAAAGAGGAUAGAGGAAUUCCUGAUGUAGAGGUAAAAUUCGUAAAUAUUAGGAGGAACACCGGUGGCGAAGGCGUCUAUCUGGUUCAAAUCUGACGCUGAAGCGCGAAGGCGUGGGGAGCAAACA
rnacentral:rRNA from 1 species